ACGGGUGAGUAACACGUGAGCAACCUGCCCCUGACUCUGGGAUAAGCGCUGGAAACGGCGUCUAAUACUGGAUACGAGUAGCGACCGCAUGGUCAGUUACUGGAAAGAUUUAUUGGUUGGGGAUGGGCUCGCGGCCUAUCAGCUUGUUGGUGAGGUAAUGGCUCACCAAGGCGUCGACGGGUAGCCGGCCUGAGAGGGUGACCGGCCACACUGGGACUGAGACACGGCCCAGACUCCUACGGGAGGCAGCAGUGGGGAAUAUUGCACAAUGGGCGCAAGCCUGAUGCAGCAACGCCGCGUGAGGGAUGACGGCCUUCGGGUUGUAAACCUCUUUUAGCAGGGAAGAAGCGAAAGUGACGGUACCUGCAGAAAAAGCGCCGGCUAACUACGUGCCAGCAGCCGCGGUAAUACGUAGGGCGCAAGCGUUAUCCGGAAUUAUUGGGCGUAAAGAGCUCGUAGGCGGUUUGUCGCGUCUGCUGUGAAAUCCGGAGGCUCAACCUCCGGCCUGCAGUGGGUACGGGCAGACUAGAGUGCGGUAGGGGAGAUUGGAAUUCCUGGUGUACGGGUGGAAUGCGCAGA
rnacentral:rRNA from 1 species